rnacentral:misc_RNA from 1 species
AAAAAACACUAGCUAAUUAUAUCUGGAUAAAAUUAGCCUUAGAUUUUCUAUCCUAUCCACUUCCUAAUUUAAACACACUGCUAAGUUUUUCAGCGUCAGAACCACUGAAUAUUAGAAGUCUCUACAAAAUACCCACCAUUUGAACCCAGUUGAUCUUCCAAGUUCACAAUGAGGAAUGUUGUAGCCAAGGCAACUAAGAAAGCUUACUGUACAGUGAUCAACUGUACAAAAAGAGGUGUCCCCAAAUUCAAGGAUUAUAAUCCAAGAACAGCAGGACCUUCAAUAAACUCUAGCCAGCUAGGCAAGUCCCAAACCAUGACUCUAAUUGAGUUGGAUGCGAAAUUUGGCUGGAAAAGGAGGAAGCCUGCAAACACCUAAGCAUGUCAAUUAUUGCUUCACAGGCCACAUUUAAGGAUCAUCUAACUCUAUGAGCUGUGCCCUCCUCUCAGCAGCCUUUUUCCUAAUAAAGAUGCCCCAUCUAAGGGCUGCCUUGAGCUUCAGCCAUCCAAUGACAGCUUUGCCAGAUGAACGAGAGUGAUCGUCGGCGAAGCUGUAGUUUGGAGAUGGGGCUGGCAUGUAUGCUGAUGAGUAAGGGUACCCAUCUUCAUUUACAUUGAAGG